GAGGGCUGGUCAUUCUGCGAGCUCUGGACGCCGAGUAACAAUUCAUACAAUAAAAGAUCAACACGGAGUAAAUUACAUACUGGAGCUAUUUUCUGAUUCAAUUGUGUAAAUACCACUGGAAGAACUACGUACCAAGAAUGCAUCAGACUGGACAGAAAAGAAUGCAAUAGAACAGAAAGAUUCUAUUGGGAAAGCGGCAAAAAGUGCUAACUAACUUCAUCUCAUCAAAUGCAACAUCGUAUAGGUUAUGUCCUUCUUCGGAUCUCUUUUCUUCCAUCGAGUCUCUACGUUUCCAUGAGAAAAACAUCACCCACGCGUGUGUCGCAUUAAACGAGCACAAAUGAUUUUAAACGGGACGUUUAAUUAUUCAAUUUCACGCGUUCGACGAUAAACGUCGAACGAUGAAUUCGAGUAUACGGCGUGUCUCGUUUGGUUGCGCAACGAUCACGUAGAAAUUGGGUCUCCGUGCGUGCGCGCGCAAGCACAUGUGACAUUUAUGGAAAUUUUACGGUAUUCAUAAAUUCGUACACGCUUUAUCAUCAGGGUUAACGCGCCUCCGCUUCUUCUGUUUUCGACGUCUGUCCCCGCGUCAUCUCUUUUCGAGCUGAUGAGCUUCGUCAUCUCUUUUUAAGGAGAACUAUCGAGUAAUGGCUUAUACUUUAAUUUUCUGAGGUUAUAAUUAAAACUGUCCCUGAGAAGGCGAUAAGAGAGACAACGAGGAUUAGGUCUUCAAAGAAGAAUGGCUUAAAAGGACUUUUUGAGGAGCGUACAAAAUUCGGGAAAGGAAUUGGAUCGAAGAAAAAGAAGAAAAGAAACGAAAACGAGAAACCCUUGACCCAGAUGCUUUGCGUCGAAAAAUAUUCGAUAACAGGGUCCAAGGCUCAUGCGUCGCGAAAAUCACUUGUGUUGGUAAAGAUGUACAAUUAAAUGGUAGUAGAAUGACAUCUAGAUAAUAAAUUUCAUUUACAGAUGAAAACUACUUUAAGACGAUAUCGACCUAGAUAAAAAGGAAAGAUAUAUAAGGAUAAUACCAUGGACCAAAUGUUUCCAAAAAUUACACGAAUUAUACAAACUUUAUAAAAUUAUUUCUACUGACAUUAUACGAAAAACAUUUUGUCGUCAGUAGCGAUUCAGUCUCCAAACUUCGGAUUC